AAAUUGAAGAGUUUGAUCAUGGCUCAGAUUGAACGCUGGCGGCAGGCCUAACACAUGCAAGUCGAGCGGUAGCACAGAGAGCUUGCUCUCGGGUGACGAGCGGCGGACGGGUGAGUAAUGUCUGGGAAACUGCCUGAUGGAGGGGGAUAACUACUGGAAACGGUAGCUAAUACCGCAUAACGUCGCAAGACCAAAGUGGGGGACCUUCGGGCCUCAUGCCAUCAGAUGUGCCCAGAUGGGAUUAGCUAGUAGGUGGGGUAACGGCUCACCUAGGCGACGAUCCCUAGCUGGUCUGAGAGGAUGACCAGCCACACUGGAACUGAGACACGGUCCAGACUCCUACGGGAGGCAGCAGUGGGGAAUAUUGCACAAUGGGCGCAAGCCUGAUGCAGCCAUGCCGCGUGUGUGAAGAAGGCCUUCGGGUUGUAAAGCACUUUCAGCGGGGAGGAAGGAA
rnacentral:rRNA from 1 species